UAUUAGCAGAUCACCGUCACAAGCUUUCUCCCACUCUCCACUUUCCCCUCUCCAUUUCUUCUUCAUUACCGCCUCCAUUACUCCCUUUCUUCCUCUGUUUUCACUUUCUUUCUUUUUCAUCACCCUGAUCAUCAUCAUUCAGAAAUAAAAAAUUACACCCAACCAACUCCACUUCUCCAUUUUUUCCUUCUUUGAAAGCCUACCUUUUCGUUUCUUCUUUCUUCCUUUACCCACCGGACCAAAAGGUCCAAAACAGAAAAAUGCAGAUGAUUCCUUUGUCUCACAUUUUUCUCCUCACUUCCCAAUUAAUGGCCGAUCCCUGCCAAACUCUCUCUUCGUCGUCCAAAAACAAGAAAGGGGGAACAAGGAUGAAGGGGGAGGAUGUUUGAUUCAUCUCAACCAUCUGCAUCAUUUUGACCAAAUAUAAUCGUGGUAAAGGAGAAAGGAAAAAGUUCUGUUAAUUUUUGUUUUCCUUCCAUAUAUCAAAAGUUAGGAUAACAAAGAUGCAAAUGUCUCACUAUUGCAGCCCCUAUUUUCUUGGGAUGAAAAUAAGAAGCAAAUGAAGUUGAAAAGGAGGCAUCGAAGCUACACUGAGAUGAAAAGGGGCAAUAAUUGCCAAGAAAAUCUGAAGGUGAAACUAUCCGAAUUAAUGUGAAGAACAAACCUUCUAGUGGAACAGGCAUGCUUUCAGCUGCAGGAUUGUUAAGUGGACAUCCUGGAACUGUAAAGGCCAAAACUCUAAGCAUAGCACCACCCCCCAGUGGAGGAGUGAGGAUUCAGUCUCCUCUCCGACCCCCUCCCAAUGAUUCAGCAGCUGCUAGGAUGACUUUGGGAAGGCAUAAUACUACUCUUAAGGGGCCUAAGGAAGUUGGUAGACAUUCUGCUGAUCCACUGGCAAAUCUGUCACAACUGGAGAAGAAUCCUCCUACAACCACUGGAACAGGUUCUAAGAAGUCCACUGGACCACUGCAGCUGGAUGGGCUGCUUUUUUAUCAUGUUAGCAUUUGACUGUUGGUGGUUCGGAUCUUUGUCUCCUGUUGUAUUUAACAAGAUGAGAAAAAUUGAAAAGAAAAUUCAUAACUGAAGGAAUUUCAAUAUGUACUCCAUCUUUGGAGGAAUAAUUAUUCUCGAAAUGUGUUGAUAUCGUUCUUUUGACAUACUUGGACUGCUGAUCUCAAAUUUAUAUAUGUAUAACACAAGAUAAUUCUCUUUCCUGGGUUUCUGCCCCAAUGUUUGUUUUUCUCCAA